rnacentral:snRNA from 1 species
AGCUUUGUGCAGUGGCAGUAUCGUAGCCACUCAGGUUUAUCUGAGGCACAAUUACUGUUAAUUGAAAAGAUUCAUCAGAUAGCUUUCAUACAUUUAUUUUACAUCCCAAUACCACAUCCUGGAACCACAGCAAAUCUAAUCUAAAUUGUUAAAUCACUGUGAGGUG